CUCAGUAACGGCGAGUGAGGCGGCAGAGUCAAAUUUGAGAUCUGGCCCCUCCGGGGGCCGAGUUGUAAUUUGCAGAGGAGGUUCGGGUGCGGCUCCGUCUAAGUUCCUUGGAAAGGACGUCAGAGAGGGUGAGAAUCCCGUCUUGGGCGGGCGGUCCGCGCCCGUGUGAAGCUCCUUCGACGAGUCGAGUUGUUUGGGAUGCAGCUCUAAGCGGGUGGUAAAUUUCAUCUAAAGCUAAAUACUGGCCGGAGACCGAUAGCGCACAAGUAGAGUGAUCGAAAGGUUAAAAGCACCUUGAAAAGGGAGUUAAACAGCACGUGAAAUUGUUGAAAGGGAAGCGCUUGCGGCCAGACUCGGGGGCGGGGUUCAGCGGGCGCUCGUCGCCCGUGCACUCCCCGCGCCCCGGGCCAGCAUCAGUUUCGACGGUCGGUCAAAGGCCCCCGGAAUGUGUCGUCUCUAGGGACGUCUUAUAGCCGGGGGUGCAAUGCGGCCCGUCGGGACUGAGGAACGCGCUCCGGCUCGGAUGCUGGCGUAAUGGCCGUAAGCGGCCCGUCUUGAAACACGGACCAAGGAGUCUAACAUCCACGCGAGUGUUCGGGUGUCAAACCCGUGCGCGCAGUGAAAGCGAACGGAGGUGGGAGCCUUAGGGCGCACCAUCGACCGAUCCUGAAGUCUUCGGAUGGAUUUGAGUAGAAGCGUGGCCGUUGGGACCCGAAAGAUGGUGAACUAUGCCUGAAUAGGGUGAAGCCAGAGGAACUCUGGUGGAGGCUCGCAGCGGUUCUGACGUGCAAAUCGAUCGUCAAUUUGGGCAUAGGGCGAAAGACUAAUCGACCAUCUAGUAGCUGGUCUGCA
rnacentral:rRNA from 1 species